rnacentral:tRNA from 1 species
UGGGACAUCGUACAAUGGUAGUACAUGCGGCUCUGGACCGUAGAAUCGGGGUUCGAAUCCCUGUGUCCCAG